rnacentral:rRNA from 1 species
GAUGAACGCUGGCGGCGUGUCUAAUACAUGCAAGUCGAGCGAACGGACGAGAAGCUUGCUUCUCUGAUGUUAGCGGCGGACGGGUGAGUAACACGUGGAUAACCUACCUAUAAGACUGGGAUAACUUCGGGAAACCGGAGCUAAUACCGGAUAAUAUUUUGAACCGCAUGGUUCAAAAGUGAAAGACGGUCUUGCUGUCACUUAUAGAUGGAUCCGCGCUGCAUUAGCUAGUUGGUAAGGUAACGGCUUACCAAGGCAACGAUGCAUAGCCGACCUGAGAGGGUGAUCGGCCACACUGGAACGGAGACACGGUCCAGACUCCUACGGGAGGCAGCAGUAGGGAAUCUUCCGCAAUGGGCGAAAGCCUGACGGAGCAACGCCGCGUGAGUGAUGAAGGUCUUCGGAUCGUAAAACUCUGUUAUUAGGGAAGAACAUAUGUGUAAGUAACUGUGCACAUCUUGACGGUACCUAAUCAGAAAGCCACGGCUAACUACGUG